rnacentral:rRNA from 1 species
AUACGGAGGGUGCAAGCGUUGUUCGGAUUUAUUGGGCGUAAAGCGAGUGUAGGCGGUUUGACAAGUCGAAUGUGAAAUCCCGAGGCCCAACCUCGGAACUGCAUCCGAAACUGUCAGGCUAGAGUCCCGGAGAGGAUGGCGGAAUUCCCGGUGUAGGGGUGAAAUCCGUAGAUAUCGGGAGGAACACCAGUGGCGAAGGCGGCCAUCUGGACGGUGACUGACGCUGAGACUCGAAAGUGUGGGUAGCAAACAGGAUUAGAAACCCUUGUAGUCC